GGAAAAUAAACACUCCUUUGUGCUGGAGGACUAGCCAGUGGGUCUAUAGAUAAUGAUGGGGUAGCCAUGUACCUUCCAGUAUGCCUACCCUAGCUUUCCCAGCUCAUGGUGGCCAUGUGAGUGUUAAGAGCAGCUUGAUGACCCAUUAUCUAGUUCUGCCUUCUAACUCUGUUGGGGAAUGAGGAGACCCAUCUGUCCUUGCUGUUGCCCUCAUUGGUUCCUCCAGACAUUAGGUCAUCAUUGGUCUGACUGUGACACACAUACUUCAUGCUUUUGUCAUUGGUCUGUCUUUUGAGGAGGAUUCUAUUGAGGAAGAUUAUCAUCUAUGUGUGCAAUUGUGGCUACAAAGUCAGGAAUCGGCUCAUGUGUUAUGGAAGCUGAAAAGACCUAUAAUCUACCAUUUGCAAGCUGGAGAACUAGGAAAUUUGGUGGUAUAAUUCAAUCUGAGUCCAAAGGCCUGAGAACCAGGAGCUCCAGAUGUCUAUGGGCAGAAGAAAGGAGAGAAAUCAUCCUCCUUUGGCAUUUUUGUUCUACUUCGGCCCUCAGUGGAUUGGGUGAUGCCCAGCCAUGGUGAGGGAAGAUAUUUUCUCCAUCUACUGAUCCAAAUCCUAAUCUCUUCUGGGAAUACCUUCACAGACACACCCAGAAAUAAUGUUUGGCCAUCUAUCUGGGCAUCCUUAGCCCAAUCAAGUUGAUAAAUAAUUAACUAUCACAGAAUCUUUAAAGGAAUUUUCCUAGGAUUCGCUUCAAUUCUUUUAAAUUGGAGCAUGUGCUUUGCUUAGAAGUAAUAGCCUCUCCAUGUAAUUUUUAGAGAAAUGUUCUCCCCCUAACUGUAAAGCAGUUUAUGAGGGAGCAACCAUAAUAAUUCCUUGGUCUUCAGUGAGAAAAGAGAUCUGGGUGCUCCAUCCUGACUAUGGAGAAAAAGUAUUAUGUCUUUAAGAAGUCAAGUGGCUCUAUUUUCCCCCAUAGUUCUCCCAGUUACUUGGAUUUCAGAAGCUGAGUGUUUUCCAGGCCAGCCUUAGAUGGGUCCCAUUCACUCUUAGGAGGUUAACAAAAGAAAACUUUGUUCUUAAAUGUUGGCUGAUUAUGGAGUUUAUGCAGGGAAUUCAAACCAGACCAUAAUCCCUAGAACCCAUGCUGUCAGAUGUUCCUUAAGUGUUGACCUUAAGAGCCAUCUAUUGCUUUGAUGUAUUUGUGUGUGUGUGUGUGUGCUCACAUGCUGCUUCUCACGGACAGAGCUCUCACUACAUGAGAGCAGUCAUGGUAAUAUCUUUGCUAUUUGCUGGAGCUUUCUUUUUUUGGGAAAAAUCAUAUUAACUGGAAUUUCUUUUUCUAGUAGAAAUAUUCUGCUACUGGAGUUCAUAUUGAAGCAGUAUAAUAUUGCUUGUUUUCUUAGAAAAGCUGCUCUGCUCUUAAAAUAGCACCUUCCCAAGGUUUUUAAAUCAGCUUGGAAUGAUGGGGACCAUUUUGAUGUUUACCUGUUCAUACUCUCUUCCAUCUCUAAGUUGAUGGGCACAAAUGCAUAUUUACUGUUUUCUUUUAUCCUUAAUUUAAAAUGUCUCUUGGCUAUUGGGACAAAUUGGAAUAACAAUUUUCAGUCAACAGUGAGAACAGAAUGCUAAAAUAUCUUCAAAAAGAAAAAUAAAUAAAGCAUGUCAUGGGUGAAAUGUAUUUUGCCACAAAGAACCUUCGUGACUAAAUUUCACAAGAUCUCAGAAGGGAAAAGAGAAAGGGAAAAGAAAUAAUACUAGCUAAUGCAUAUGUAGCAUUUUAUAUCAUUCAACCUUUAUCCUUUGAUGAUUUAUCACAAUAGAAUUAAAUUAUUAUUUGGCAGGAGGGGAAACUGAGGUAUAGUGUGGCCAAGUGACUUACAUAAGGUCACAUGGUAAAUUAGUUUUUUAGGUCUAGAGCAGUGGCUCCUAAGGCUCUGAGAGUUUGGCUUACGGAAAUUUUCAGGAUUCUGUGAGAGCUGUUGUUGGGGCGGCGAGGGGACGCUCCCCUUCUAGGUUCCUUGACUGGCCUAAUAAAUUGACUUAAAACAGGUUAACAGGAGGGGUGGGUGGAUGGCUCAGUCAGUUAAGUGGCUGCCUUUUGCUCAGGUCAUGAUCUCAGGGUCCUGGGAUCCAGUGCUGCAUCAGGCUCCCUGCUGGGCAGCCUGCUUCUCCCUGUCCAAUGCUUGUACACACACACACACUCUCUCUCUCACUCUCUCUCUCUCUCUCAAAUAAAUAAAAUCUUAAAAAGCCCAGGUUAACAGGAGAAAAACAAAUUUUAAUUGGGAACAUACAGGAGCUGAUAGAAAUAACAAGCUUCCAAAAGUGAUCAAAGUAGGCAGUUUUUAUACCUUUUAAACACAGAAAACAUUAUUUGUAAAGAAUUAACAAAGGGAUUUAGGCUUGGGGUAGCAAUUAAGUGAAGAAGUAAUAACGUUUGUUUGUACAUCUCUCUUAGCCCUGAAUUCCCUGUCUCUGGGAUUAAGGAUGCCUUCUAUCCUCCAGGUGCCAGGAUGGUAGCCUUCACACGGGGAAUUUAUUUCCUUCUUUCAGGAGGACAGAGGAGGAUCAGCAAGUCCUUCUUGCACCAGCUAUUUCCUAAAUAACUCUAAUUCAAAAUAAUCAAUAUGUGAAAGUGGCCUAUUCUGGGGUGGCCCACCCUGAACCUCAUUAUUGUGGAUCCUCUCUCAUGGGUCAGAGCAUAUGUGUGUGAGUGUGUGUGGGUAUGUGUAGGUAAGUGAGUGUGAGUGAGUGUAUGAGUGUGUGUAUGUGUGUGUGUGUGUGUGUGAGAGAGAGAGAGAGAGAGAGAGAGAGAGAGAGACAGAAUGAGAGGGAUUACCUGCAAUUAGAUAAAAAUUUUUUAGUUGACUUCAGAUGAUUUCUAGGCCCGUCAAAUCCACCUGUGGACUCUGAUGAGACUUCUUCAUCACUGGAGGGUAAUUUCCCAGUCUACUGAUGAUCAAGUUGAUGACACAUUAUUAAAAGGGCUAGUAAGGGGGAUAUUGAAAAUCAGGUAGUGCAUAGUUUUUGAAAGCCAUUGAAAAAUAAAUUGCAAACAGAAUUUAAUGAAUAGUACAGUUAUGCUUUUAUUCUACAAUAUCUAUAACAUAAGUCUGAGAUGAGAACUGAAACCUUCCAUAGGCUGGUAUCUCGGGGGUGGGGCUCCUGGAUACAGGUUGGUGGGCGCACCUAUGAAGUAGGAGAUGCCUGGACAGAGUUUGUUCUUGCAAAUGGACAUUUAUCUUGUAAUUUUUCACUGAGGGCCAUGAAUGGUACUGGUCUAGUGUCUAAAUGAUUGCCACAUAAUCACAGGUAUAUUGGAAAGACUCUGCCUGCUACUACAUGGAUCUCUACUUACUCUUUGGAAAUGGAAUUAUAUAAGGAAAUUGAGACAAUUUUAUAUUUGUUGUUUUACUUUAUCCUGUAUUGUUUAAAUUUUAUGCAA